rnacentral:rRNA from 1 species
GACGUAGGGCGCGAGCGUUGUCCGGAUUUAUUGGGCGUAAAGAGCUACGUAGGCGGUUUGUCGCGGUCUGCUGUGAAAACCUAAGGCUCAACCUUGGGCUUGCAGUGGGUACGGGCAGACUAGAGUGCGGUAGGGGUGACUGGGAAUUCCUGGGUGUAGCGGUGGAAUGACGCAGAGUAUCAGGAGGAACACCGAUGGCGAAGGCAGGGUCACUGGGCCGCAACUGACGCUGAGGAGCGAAAGCAUGGGGAGCGAACAGGAUUAGACU